UGGACUGGGAAUGUAUGAACAAGGGGAACGUUUCUCCUGGAAUUAAAUGAUGGUUGAAGUAGACAUCCAUUUUCCCACUGCCUAAAAUGACUUCACAUCCUGCAAAGCUGUCAAGAUGGCAUUAUUUUCUUCCAAACACGUGAAGAGGAUGUGGAAAAUAGACCAUAGAUGGAAAUCUGUGAAUCCUAUGCUGGCAUCUGUAUAAAGGAUCAUUUUGUGGGAGGCAUGAAUUACUUGAGAAGAACAAUCAAUACACUUCACAAUUAAGAUGAUCAAGAGUUUUUUCACAUUUUUCUGGAAAUUGUUUAUUAAGAAAAUUUCCGAGACAUUUGCCUGUUUCAGUUAAACUUUCUUUGGGAAGAUUUCCUGAAUUACAAGGGCCUGUUACAUCAUUUCUAUGAUCUGCUCUGACUUUCCACUGCAAUGGCUGUAUGGGAAAUGCAUCUGCUUCUACAACUGAGCUUUAAAGAGGUUUCAUCUAUGUCUACUAUUUCUGGUCCAAUGUUUUAAAAAAAAAAAAGAAAAGAGAAAAAAGAGUAGAAGUUAGGCACAGACUGCAAAGGACAGAGACUCUUGCUCGAGCACAAGUCCUCUUCUGCUACAAGGAACCUGUAAAGAACAACAGCAAUUCAGGAGGGAGGAAAGAAGUUGAAACAGGAAUUCCAAGUGGUUUUCUCCUCAGGACUCCUGGAUCUCACCACUGACUUUCCAGCAGCCAGGCCAAGGCAGGUGAAUCCCUCCCUGCCCUGCUUUAUCCAUCUGUAAAAUAAGCAUGGUCAGCCUUACCUGCUCCACCACCUUGUCACAUGGUGCCCCCAAGAAAUAUCUGUGAAUUGCUGUAAGAUUCUGAGACCAAGGGAAGGCUGGAAGUGCCAAGUGUUGUUGUUGUUAUUGUAUUAACAAUGUUGGCUGUUUUCACUGUUCAUAUGGUAGCCUGGCUGGAAUUGGGCAGGAAGCCCAAUAAUACCAACAACCAACAAGAAACUAAAAUAAAAUGUUUUACUUAA